CACACGCACCCGCCGCCGCCGCCAUCUCCCUUCGCAGGCACGUCUCUUCCUUCACUCGAUUCCCUUGAUCCCCUUCUCUUACGUUGCCUCCUCCCAAUCCUUCCCCCCUUACUCGCACGGAGGUGGCUGCAGGAGAGGCGUGGCAAAGGAGGCUCGUGCAGGGGGUGGUGGUGGUGGGAGUGGGGAGUAAGAAAGAGCAUGGAGGCGGCGGCGGCGGCUAGGAAGAGCGUGUGCGUGACCGGCGCAGGAGGCUUCAUCGCCUCGUGGCUCAUCAAGCUCCUCCUCUCCAAGGGCCACUAAAUGGUCCGCGGCACCAUGCGAGAUCCCGGUAAGGACCCUCCUCGCUUCGAUCCGUCCAUCCCAGCCCCCGAAGAUCCAGCCUCAGCUCAUGCUCGCGCUGCUCCCGCCCAACGACGCCGUCUGCGUCGAACUGAAAGCCUGCGGAGGACGGGGACGAGGUCGGGGUGGAGAUGUGGAUCGUUUUCUUUGGAUCCCCAACUGAAGAGUUUGAAGUUGUUUCUGCAGACAACCUAGAUGUCAAUGAAUGUGCGCAGAGUCCAGCCCCCUGCCAUGGCUCUGCAACUUGCCACAACACAGUUGGAGGGUUCCAUUGUUCAUGCCCUUUUGUCACCAGUUUUGCUAAGGAAACAAACUCCUGCGCCAAUCAGUUUACAAGUCAGGAGUUGAGCAGGGCACAAUCUGUGGCAGGACCGCACUCUCCUACUCAUUUGUCUCAAAGCAAAAGAAGCUUGCUGCCUUUGCCUGGAGAGAGUAGAAGUUUCUUUUAUCUAAUCCAAGAUGAUCUAUUCAUGAUUAAAACAGCGAGGAAAUCAGAAGUUGAGUGCAAGGGCUGCAUGUCCUUAUAAAGCUUUUUAAUGGGUUGAGUUCUACUAAUUGAAGCCGGUGAGUUGGUGUAUGCUUGAAGUGAGUCUGGUUCUUGCUUCAAUUUCCCCUGUUUCACCUCCAGAUCUACUCAUUGGGAGAUGGAUUCCUUGCAGUGAGAGGCUGGUCUGACGCUGUUGUUGAUAAUCAUCCAUUCCUAUUCUGGACGUGGACGAAGUACACACAUGUACACGCAGCUCUUUUUGAUCCGUUGCAUAUCAAAGCUUCAUUCAGACGAUGGACUGUCUUGCUCUACUUCGAAAUCGAAACAGGUGAGUCGUGUCCUUUUUAGGAUUUAACCAACUGAAGUGAAACCAAGAUACAGUUGCUGCACCACUUAUGAGCAAAUUGUACAGGGGAAAGACAGGCAGCUGCUGCAGAACAAGGGAAGGAGUAUCAGCUAUCUGUUGUUUCAGUUAUUUAUGUGUGCUGAAGAUUGUUCAUACCCGUACCCUGAAGAAAGAAGGCAAAAUAAUCUAUAACUAUUUCUUGAUAAUAAAACACAAGAUAGAUUGUAGAUAUACCUGGAAUAUGUUCAUCCGGGUUCAGUUAAUAAGUGCAUUAGUCAACAUUGUGGUGCAAUGACAGAAUCUGCUGUCCACAACUUCACCUGCCAUAUCCUUAAGGGUCUUGCUUUCCUACAGAGCCAAAAAAUUAUGCAUAGAUUUGGAAAUAGGUUUAAAGGAAAGAUUUAGAAGUAACUGUGGUGAUCCAGGACGCUUUCAAGAUUACAAGUUCAGUAGUGGCAACUUGAACUUAUGUAAGAAUAAACAGAAUGAUUUUUCAUCUUGAAGAGUUUCCUAACUGUUGACUUUAAGCCUUCAAAGUUACUCCUUUCGUAAACUAAUAUAAGAGCGUUUAGAUCACUAAAGUAGUGAUCUAAAUACUCUUAUAUUAGUUUACAGAGGGAGUACAUCGUGGGAUUAUGAAUAAGAUGGUGCUAAUUAUAUUUUGAGUGAAUUUCUGGUGUGUAUUAUUCAGAAUUUCAGACUGGCCCUUGAACUAAAUAAAGAGAAGUCAAAUUUUGUUUC